UGCAAGUCGAGGGGCAGCGGGAUUGAAGCUUGCUUCAAUUGCCGGCGACCGGCGCACGGGUGAGUAACGCGUAUCCAACCUUCCGUACACUCAGGGAUAGCCUUUCGAAAGAAAGAUUAAUACCUGAUGGUAUGAUGAGAUUGCAUGAUAGCAUCAUUAAAGAUUUAUCGGUGUACGAUGGGGAUGCGUUCCAUUAGGUAGUAGGCGGGGUAACGGCCCACCUAGCCUACGAUGGAUAGGGGUUCUGAGAGGAAGGUCCCCCACAUUGGAACUGAGACACGGUCCAAACUCCUACGGGAGGCAGCAGUGAGGAAUAUUGGUCAAUGGACGAGAGUCUGAACCAGCCAAGUAGCGUGAAGGAUGAAGGUCUUACGGAUUGUAAACUUCUUUUAUAAGGGAAUAAAACCUCCCACGUGUGGGAGCUUGUAUGUACCUUAUGAAUAAGCAUCGGCUAACUCCGUGCCAGCAGCCGCGGUAAUACGGAGGAUGCGAGCGUUAUCCGGAUUUAUUGGGUUUAAAGGGAGCGCAGACGGGUCGUUAAGUCAGCUGUGAAAGUUUGGGGCUCAACCUUAAAAUUGCAGUUGAUACUGGCGUCCUUGAGUGCGGUUGAGGUGUGCGGAAUUCGUGGCGUAGCGGUGAAAUGCUUAGAUAUCACGAAGAACUCCGAUUGCGAAGGCAGCACACUAAGCCGUAACUGACGUUCAUGCUCGAAAGUGUGGGUAUCAAACAGGAUUAGAUACCCUGGUAGUCCACACGGUAAACGAUGGAUACUCGCUGUUGGCGAUAUACGG
rnacentral:rRNA from 1 species